AUUAUAUUAGUUUAACAAAAAUUUCUCUUUGUGAAGGUGAAGAUUCAAUAUGAAUGUAAUA
rnacentral:tRNA from 1 species